rnacentral:rRNA from 1 species
UACGUAGGGGGCUAGCGUUGUCCGGAAUCAUUGGGCGUAAAGAGCGCGUAGGCGGCCAGAUAAGUCCGGUGUGAAAGUCAAAGGCUCAACCUUUGAAUGCCGCUGGAAACUGUCUGGCUAGAGUCCGGGAGGGGCGAGUGGAAUUCCUGGUGUAGCGGUGAAAUGCGCAGAUAUCAGGAGGAACACCGAUUGCGAAGGCAGCUCGCUGGAACGUUACUGACGCUGAGACGCGAAAGCGUGGGGAGCAAACAGG